CGCUUUUCCCUUUUUUAUUUCUUUUAAAUUACGAAAUUAAUCUUUAUUGGAUGAAAAAUAAAUACUUGAUACAAAAAAAUUAAAGUAAUUGUUUACAAACAAAAAUAUUGAUUUCAUUCAAUUAAUUACUUAAAUAUCCCUUUAUUUCAAUUGACCCUUAUUUUUAUAUUCAUUUUUAAAAACUUUAAAUUUGUCUAUUCCCUCAUUUAGAUUGUCCAACCAAAAGGA
rnacentral:lncRNA from 1 species